AUUGAACGCUGGCGGCAUGCUUUACACAUGCAAGUCGAACGGUAACAGGGAGCUUGCUCCGCUGACGAGUGGCGAACGGGUGAGUAAUGCGUCGGAACGUGCCGAGUAGUGGGGGAUGACGCAUCGAAAGGUGUGCUAAUACCGCAUACGUACUGAGGUAGAAAGUGGGGGACCUUCGGGCCUCACGCUAUUCGAGCGGCCGACGUCUGAUUAGCUAGUUGGUGAGGUAAAGGCUCACCAAGGCGACGAUCAGUAGCGGGUCUGAGAGGAUGAUCCGCCAGACUGGGACUGAGACACGGCCCAGACUCCUACGGGAGGCAGCAGUGGGGAAUUUUGGACAAUGGGCGCAAGCCUGAUCCAGCCAUGCCGCGUGUCUGAGGAAGGCCUUCGGGUUGUAAAGGACUUUUGUCCGGGAGCAAAUGCCUGGUGUUAAUAGCAUCGGGAGCUGAGAGUACCGGAAGAAUAAGCACCGGCUAACUACGUGCCAGCCGCCGCGGUAAAAC
rnacentral:rRNA from 1 species